AACGAACGCUGGCGGCAUGCCUAACACAUGCCAGUCGAACGAGACCUCCGGGUCUAGUGGCGCACGGGUGCGUAACGCGUGGGAACCUGCCCUUAGGUUCGGAAUAACUCCCUGAAAGGGGUGCUAAUACCGGAUAAUGUCUUCGGACCAAAGAUUUAUCGCCUUUGGAUGGGCCCGCGUUGGAUUAGCUAGUUGGUAGGGUAAAAGCCUACCAAGGCGACGAUCCAUAGCUGGUCUGAGAGGAUGACCAGCCACACUGGGACUGAGACACGGCCCAGACUCCUAGGGGAGGCAGCAGUGGGGAAUAUUGGACAAUGGGCGAAAGCCUGAUCCAGCAAUGCCGCGUGAGUGAUGAAGGCCUUAGGGUUGUAAAGCUCUUUUACCCGGGAUGAUAAUGACAGUACCGGGAGAAUAAGCACCGGCUAACUCCGUG
rnacentral:rRNA from 1 species